rnacentral:rRNA from 1 species
GACGAACGCUGGCGGCGUGCUUAACACAUGCAAGUCGAACGGAAAGGCCCUGCUUUUGUGGGGUGCUCGAGUGGCGAACGGGUGAGUAACACGUGAGUAACCUGCCCUUGACUUCGGGAUAACUUCAGGAAACUGGGGCUAAUACCGGAUAGGAGCUCCUGCUGCAUGGUGGGGGUUGGAAAGUUUCGGCGGUUGGGGAUGGACUCGCGGCUUAUCAGCUUGUUGGUGGGGUAGUGGCUUACCAAGGCUUUGACGGGUAGCCGGCCUGAGAGGGUGACCGGCCACAUUGGGACUGAGAUACGGCCCAGACUCCUACGGGAGGCAGCAGUGGGGAAUAUUGCACAAUGGGCGGAAGCCUGAUGUAGCAACGCCGCGUGCGGGAUGACGGCCUUCGGGUUGUAAACCGCUUUCGCCUGUGACGAAGCGUGAGUGACGGUAAUGGGUAAAGAAGCACCGGCUAACUACGUG